AUUGAACGCUGGCGGCAGGCCUAACACAUGCAAGUCGAGCGGAUGAGAGGAGCUUGCUCCUCGAUUCAGCGGCGGACGGGUGAGUAAUGCCUAGGAAUCUGCCUAUUAGUGGGGGACAACAUCUCGAAAGGGAUGCUAAUACCGCAUACGUCCUACGGGAGAAAGCAGGGGAUCACUUGUGACCUUGCGCUAAUAGAUGAGCCUAAGUCGGAUUAGCUAGUUGGUGGGGUAAAGGCCUACCAAGGCGACGAUCUGUAGCGGGUCUGAGAGGAGGAUCCGCCACACUGGGACUGAGACACGGUCCAGACUCCUACGGGAGGCAGCAGUGGGGAAUUUUGGACAAUGGGCGAAAGCCUGAUCCAGCCAUUCCGCGUGCAGGAUGAAGGCCCUCGGGUUGUAAACUGCUUUUGUACAGAACGAAAAGGUUUCUACUAAUACUAGGAGCUCAUGACGGUACUGUAAGAAUAAGCACCGGCUAACUACGUGCCAGCCGCCGCCGUAA
rnacentral:rRNA from 1 species